rnacentral:piRNA from 1 species
GCUGGUUUUGCGUGUAAACUUGACACAAGA